AGAGUUUGAUCCUGGCUCAGGAUGAACGCUAGCGACAGGCUUAACACAUGCAAGUCGAGGGGCAGCACGGGAGUAGCAAUACAACUGGUGGCGACCGGCGCACGGGUGAGUAACGCGUAUGCAACCUACCUAUCAGAGGGGAAUAACCCGGCGAAAGUCGGACUAAUACCGCAUAAAACAGGGGCACCGCAUGGUGAUAUUUGUUAAAGAAAUUCGCUGAUAGAUGGGCAUGCGUUCCAUUAGGUAGUUGGUGAGGUAACGGCUCACCAAGCCGACGAUGGAUAGGGGAACUGAGAGGUUGGUCCCCCACACUGGUACUGAGACACGGACCAGACUCCUACGGGAGGCAGCAGUGAGGAAUAUUGGUCAAUGGGCGGGAGCCUGAACCAGCCAAGUCGCGUGAAGGAAGAAGGAUCUAUGGUUCGUAAACUUCUUUUGCAGGGGAAUAAAGUGCAGGACGUGUCCUGUUUUGUAUGUACCCUGAGAAUAAGGAUCGGCUAACUCCGUGCCAGCAGCCGCGGUAAUACGGAGGAUCCGAGCGUUAUCCGGAUUUAUUGGGUUUAAAGGGUGCGUAGGUGGUUUGGUAAGUCAGCGGUGAAAGUUUGCAGCUUAACUGUAAAAAUGCCGUUGAAACUGUCGGACUUGAGUGUAAAUGAGGUAGGCGGAAUGCGUGGUGUAGCGGUGAAAUGCAUAGAUAUCACGCAGAACUCCGAUUGCGAAGGCAGCUUACUAAGCUACAACUGACACUGAAGCACGAAAGCGUGGGGAUCAAACAGGAUUAGAUACCCUGGUAGUCG
rnacentral:rRNA from 1 species